GACAGACAUGACUGCGGUUCGUUUCAAAGAGUCGCAGCGUCUUUGAGCUGUUCAGAGUUUUUCCACAGCAAUCAGAGAUGAAAUUAAAGGCUGAACGAGGAGAAAAGGCAUCUGGAGGAGGACGACGGGCUGUUUGUUCAGACUGCAGCUGAAGGGAAACCUUUUAGAGAACUCCUGCUCUUUCUGGAGGCGGAGCUUCAUCACAACAUGGCUCCUCUAUUAACCCUUUAACAACAUUGAAGGGUUAAUAGAGGGGCAGUUUAACAGAGGAAACUGCGGCUCUGAGGAGGAAGAUAUUUUUGUCCUUCUUGGUUUCCAGUGAAGACAACGUGCACAAAAGAUGUCUGUUUCCAGGUCAGAGUGAGAAGGCAGAGGAAAUUACCACCAGCCACCAAACGCAUCACAGUGAAACUUCGCCUGUGGGGGAUGAAGAAGUAAAAAAAAAAUAAAAAUUCACAAAAUGUUGGUCAAACUUGUGGCUGAACGCAGGUGGUUUACAGAAGAAAUACUUUUUCUACCCUCAAUGUAAAUCUGAGCUUCGUCACAGCAAGAAUCACCGGAUUUAAUUCCAGGAUGUAGCUUCGUUCAAAACCACAGCAUCUGGCUGAGGAUUCCCUUUGACCUCUGGCUUGGCUAAUACCUGGAAAGGGACGCGGCUCGGUUCCCUGCCUGUCUGGACACAUCUCUUGUGGGAUCCUGAAGGCCGACGCUGAUGUUUUUGGGCAGAUGCCUUCUGCUGCAGAUAUCUAAUACUGUGUCUUUCUCUGUUUAAACUUCCACUUCAAUGCUUUUCGUGCCAGAGCCUGCCACAAAAUUACAAGUAUUCAGUAGGAGGGCCUGCGAGGCAGAACGGAGCCGCGGAAAAACAUGACCUAACAACAGAAAAAUACACUGGAGCUUAUUUUUAUGGAACCCAACCAGAAAACCUUUAAGAUCGUCAAAUAAAUUAACAAACCUCUGGUCUCAGCUUAUAUUAUCCAACACAUCCUAACAAGUUGGAAGAUUCAAAUUUCAAUUGAUUUUCUCUUUUGAAGCUCCACAAAUAUAUAGCUACUACUGUAUAAAUCUUUGAAUUAAUUAGAUUUUAUGUUUUCUGAAAUCAUUUCACUCUUUUAUGGGCUGAUUUUUCAGUUACCAAAAUUUUUUUUAGCUAAUUGCCAUCUCUCUCUACAACAGGAACAACUUUCUCUCAAAUCAAAAGUACAUAAAUAUAUAAAAGCUAUGAAAAUUCGGGAAUCUUUUAGCACUACUUUAUUUUUAUUGUACAAAAUGUAUAGUAUUUUUAUGCAAAUUUUCUAAAGUAGCAAGCUGCUUCAAAAUUAUUGGUAUUAAAGUUCUUGAAACUCACCAAUCAUCAAUUUUUUACUGCCUGUGAAAAUGCAAUUAGGACACACAAUGGUGGCAAACGCUAACUGAAAAACUAGCUGUGCUAACCACAAAGUGCUAAUCAUAAACUUUAGUUCCGCUAAUGCUAAAGCAAAUGCUAACAAUAAGUUGCUAAAUUCAACCAUGUCCGUCCAACAUGACAGAUCAUGUGCAACGUGAGUCCAUUUGCUCAAUAAAGUUUCUUGGACAACAGUAGAGAAUGUGAGGAGAGGAAUUGGAACUGCUGCGCACAUUUCAAAAUAAAAGCAUAAACGUCUAACUACUUGAAGAAUUCUUGGAGUCAAUAAUUAAACGUUCAACACAUAUGUUGAACUUUAUUCAACUGAAAGUUUACAAAACUAGUAAAUUAGCACUUUAGCAUUUUUCCAGAAAGUUUCAUUUGGGGCACACAUGUGGAAGUCAAGGCCCUCGGGCCAAAUCCGGCCUGCUAGAAGUUUUCAUGUGGCCCUCUGGACUCUAGAAAUAAAAUCUUCACAACUGUGGUUGUGUUUUUAAAUAUUAUUUCAUUAGUCAAAUCGGUAGUUUUAUCUCUACUGUGCUAAGUUACAUUAAGGUAAAAAGGUGUUUAACAUUAUUUAAUUUCAGGAAGUUCCCAUCAGACUCAGAUAUAACUGUUUAUUAAUAUUUUAACAGUUUAUUAACGGGUAAUUUUAUCAACACAUUCGGCCACAACUGACCCUUUACAGACCCUUUUAACUUUUGAUUCUGGCCUAAAGCAGAUUGAGUUUGACACCCUGAUUUAGGAGAAGCUAAGUUCGCUAAAUGUUAGCAAAGUUAGCAAAAUGCUAAAGGUGGAUAAGCAGAAGUGUGCCUACCGAUAUAUUUAGACAUACUGGUAAAUAGUAUGAAAUUUAACAAAAUAGAGAAAUUGAAGUACUACUUUCACAUGAUUACAACAGAAGAAAACUUUUUGUAAAACUUAAUAAAAAUUGAGUUUUCUAUCAGUCACAACUUUACAUAAAUGUACAGUGGUGAGAAAACAAACC